GACCUCAAAUCAGGUAGGACUACCCGCUGAACUUAAGCAUAUCAAUAAGCGGAGGAAAAGAAACUAACAAGGAUUCCCCUAGUAACUGCGAGUGAAGCGGGAAAAGCUCAAAUUUAAAAUCUGGCGGUCUCCGGCCGUCCGAGUUGUAAUCUAGAGAAGUGUUAUCCGCGCUGGACCGUGUACAAGUCUCCUGGAAUGGAGCGUCAUAGAGGGUGAGAAUCCCGUCUUUGACACGGACUGCCAGGGCUUUGUGAUGCGCUCUCAAAGAGUCGAGUUGUUUGGGAAUGCAGCUCAAAAUGGGUGGUAAAUUCCAUCUAAAGCUAAAUAUUGGCGAGAGACCGAUAGCGAACAAGUACCGUGAGGGAAAGAUGAAAAGAACUUUGGAAAGAGAGUUAAACAGUACGUGAAAUUGCUGAAAGGGAAACGCUUGAAGUCAGUCGCGUUGGCCGGGAAUCAACCUUGCUUUUGCUGGGCGUAUUUUCUGGUCGACGGGUCAACAUCAAUUUUGACCGUUGGAUAAAGUCUGAGGGAAACUUCGGGAGUGUUAUAGCCCUUGGUCGCAUACAACGAUUGGGAUUGAGGAACUCAGCACGCCGCAAGGCCGGGUACUUGUACCACGUUCGUGCUUAGGAUGUUGGCAUAAUGGCUUUAAUCGACCCGUCUUGAAACACGGACCAAGGAGUCUAACAUGCCUGCGAGUGUUUGGGUGGAAAACCCGAGCGCGUAAUGAAAGUGAAAGUUGAGAUCCCUGUCGUGGGGAGCAUCGACGCCCGGACCAGACCUUUUGUGACGGAUCCGCGGUAGAGCAUGUAUGUUGGGACCCGAAAGAUGGUGAACUAUGCCUGAAUAGGGUGAAGCCAGAGGAAACUCUGGUGGAGGCUCGUAGCGAUUCUGACGUGCAAAUCGAUCGUCAAAUUUGGGUAUAGGGGCGAAAGACUAAUCGAACCAUCUAGUAGCUGGUUCC
rnacentral:rRNA from 1 species